AUUGAACGCUGGCGGCAGGCUUAACACAUGCAAGUCGAGCGGAGAGAGGUAGCUUGCUACUGAUCUUAGCGGCGGACGGGUGAGUAAUGCUUAGGAAUCUGCCUAUUAGUGGGGGACAACAUUUCGAAAGGAAUGCUAAUACCGCAUACGUCCUACGGGAGAAAGCAGGGGAUCUUCGGACCUUGCGCUAAUAGAUGAGCCUAAGUCGGAUUAGCUAGUUGGUGGGGUAAAGGCCUACCAAGGCGACGAUCUGUAGCGGGUCUGAGAGGAUGAUCCGCCACACGGGGACUGAGACACGGCCCAGACUCCUACGGGAGGCAGCAGUGGGGAAUAUUGGACAAUGGGCGCAAGCCUGAUCCAGCCAUGCCGCGUGUGUGAAGAAGGCCUUAUGGUUGUAAAGCACUUUAAGCGAGGAGGAGGCUACUUUAGUUAAUACCUAGAGAUAGUGGACGUUACUCGCAGAAUAAGCACCGGCUAACUCCGUGCCAGCCGCCGCCGUAACAC
rnacentral:rRNA from 1 species